AAGUCGUAACAAGGUUUCCGUAGGUGAACCUGCGGAAUGAUCAUUAAAGAAUACCUGGACUCCGGUCCUCGUCGAGAAAGGUCGUCCCGGGUGGCCUCCAGGUCCCCGGGGGCUUCCCCCUCCUUACCUUCUCCGUUACUCGUUACCUCCUGACUUCGUGCUUUUGGCCAUUGGCCAACGCAUCCGUCGUCCCCUGGGGUCCCGGGGGUUUCCGGGGGCUUUUGGGCCCGGUCCUUUGGGGCCCGGUACUGGGGCCCCCGGAAACGGGCCCCUAACCUCGGUUGGGGAAUUAAGGUUCCUUAAUUGUUUGUCUGAGUACGAUAUAAAUCGUUUACAA
rnacentral:misc_RNA from 1 species